UACGGGGGGGGCAAGCGUUGUUCGGAAUUACUGGGCGUAAAGGGCGCGUAGGUGGCCAACUAAGUCAGACGUGAAAUCCCUCGGCUUAACCGGGGAACUGCGUCUGAUACUGGAUGGCUUGAGUUCGGGAGAGGGAUGCGGAAUUCCAGGUGUAGCGGUGAAAUGCGUAGAUAUCUGGAGGAACACCGGUGGCGAAGGCGGCAUCCUGGACCGACAUUGACGCUGAGGCGCGAAAGCCAGGGGAGCAAACGGG
rnacentral:rRNA from 1 species